UAUUUCAAACAAGCAAAGAAUGCUGGAAAUUGAAUCUUUAUUCACUUCCCAGUCUGCUGGGGGUGAAAAAUAAAGUAAAUAAGCUGAAGGGAACUUUGAAAUGACAAAUGAGGUCCUGUCACAGGGACUGUGAUAUCUCUUUUGCCUUUUUCCAGCCCCUGAUCAAAGGAAACUUCCUGACUGUGGAGCAGUGCAUGGCUUGUGGCACAGGCACACGAGCAGGAGAUGGCAGCUGUAUGGUGUUCUCAAGUGAAAAAGACAAGAUAAGCUGGUGGGGUCUUGAUGUGAAAAUCGUUGUGACCCCGUUGAGAAUCAUGCCAGUGAUGGUUUGUCAAUGGUGCUGGCACAGGAGCAGCUGCCCUUUCACUGAGCUGUGUCUCACAGGGUGACUGACUUGUUCUGGAGGGUGCCAAGAUCCUUGUAAGGAUGAGGAGCCUGCAGGCAGCCAUAGGUGGCUGCAAAACAAGAGCUGAACAGCUGCAGACAGCAAACCUGCCCAGGAGAGAAACCAGGGACUUCCUUACCUUUACCUCACAAAUGAAAAAUACAGAUACAGCAAAGUGAUGGAUUUAACCUCCAAGCUGUGGUUCCCUCUGGACUCAUUGCAGCUUCAGAAGGUCAUAGUGGUCAACCUCAAAACCUGGGGCAGGCAGUAACAGUGAUGUACUUUGCUUCUUGUCCUCUGGAAGACACAAGCUCCAGCCUGAGAGGACAGACAGCAUUCUGUGGCCUCUUUUGAUUUCCUGGAGUAUGGUUCCAGGGGGUUGUGUGGAAACGGAGCAGAUCUCAAGAGAUGCUGACAGUUUUCCUUUACUCUUCUCUUCUCCGCAUUUGGAGAUGACCACAUGCACUGUUUGUUUUGGCACCUUUUGUUUCAACGCAAC